rnacentral:rRNA from 1 species
CGUGUAGGCGGGCAAUCAAGUCAGAUGUAAAAGGCGACGGCUUAACCGUAGUAUGUCAUCUGAUACUGGUUGUCUUGAGUUCGAGAGAGGGUGGUGGAAUUCCCGGUGUAGCGGUGAAAUGCGUAGAUAUCGGGAAAAACACCAGAAGCGAAGGCGGCCACCUGGAUCGACACUGACGCUGAGACGCGAAAGCGGUGGGUAGCAAACA